CCUGGCCCACGCGUGUCCCCGGCAUCAGUGUCUCGGCUCUGGUCCAGGACGAAGACUUCUGAAAGCGAGCCAAGAAGAAUCGCAGUUCUUAAUGGAGCCCCUGACUGCUGGGUAGAAGGUGGUGGUUCUGAAGACAGUGAGCUACUGUUCCCCGGUUUCCUGAGAUCUGUUUCCAUCGAGAUGCAAAGGACACAGAGCUCACGGGUGCUCCUCACGGGUGUUCCAGCGAUGCUGGUGUCAUGUUUGGACUGCAGUCACUGCAAAGCUUCCCAAUAGAACAGUUCUUCCUGAGAAAUCUAUCAGUGCAGUUCAGACUCUGGAAGCAAAUGACCUCUCCGGGCAGAGCCUUCACCGUGUGGGGAACAUCAGAUUUGUGUAAGGAUUACCUAUCUCUUUUUAGGUAUGCACUGUUGAGAAGGUACUGCGAAGGCCACAGGUCACUCAGGAAAAUUUGGGGGAGUUUUCUAGGUUCAAUGGAGACUGGACAUCAAAGCUGCACUGGGACAUCUGGAUCCGUUGAUCCACUUUGGCCAUUCCACCUCAGCUCAGAAUUACCCACAUGGUGUCAGAGUGAUUAAUUUCACUUUCAGUGCCUCCCUUCCCGAGUGGAGUACUUCUGUAGACACUCCUAAUUCAACGAAACCUGUUCAGGGGAUCAUCCCUGCGAGACAGACAGCUGCCAGAGGCCACUGGCUUCCCAGCAUGGAUUUCAGAUUAUGGCCAAUCAAGA
rnacentral:lncRNA from 1 species